UCAAAUUUUCAUCCAUUUAUUAUUUUCCUUAUAAAUUAGCACAAAAUCAGCCCAUUUCUCUUCAUAUGGCCGGCCAAAGGAAGAAAAGAAAGAACAAGAACCCUAGAGUGAAAAUUCAAGAGAAAUUUGGUGGAUUUCAAGUAAUCAAGCAAUCAAAGGUAAAAUUUCUUGAUUUUGACUUGUGAUUUACCUUUCCCAUACAUUCUUUUGCAUUUUCAUGGUUGAAUCACAUGAUUUCAUGAUGGGUAUCUUGCUGGCUGAACACUUAGAGAGAGGUUUUGAUGCUUGAUUUGGUUAGAUUUCAAUGUAUUUUAGUGUUUUUAGUUAGUUAGUGAUGUGUAGCAUGAAAAGCCAACAAGAAAAUUCAUUUUCUCCCAUCACCCAUCAUUGGCCGAAUUCUCCAUGUGAAAUAUUGAUGAUGAUUUUGAUUUUAUUUCUAGUGAUUUGGUUAGGAAUUAGUGAUUUAUGGUGAAAGAAUCAAGCUUGAAAAAUUAUAGUGUUGAUGCACCCACCAUGGCCGAAUUUUCCAAGAGAAAAUGUGAGGAUGAUUUUGCCAUAUUUCAAUUUAUUUAGUUUGUGUUUAAUGAUUUGGAGUAUUGGGAGAAAAAUGGAAUUAUUUGGAGUUGAAUUGGACAUAAUGGCAAAUUAAUCGGGUGAUAGAUCGAAUUAGGUCAAUACCGUUUUAUUUAGGUACACAAUUGAAUUUGUGUAGAACACCGUGUUUAGACAAUAAUCCGAACAAUUUACAUUCCAUUUCAUGCAUUAGUAUAGAGCCUGAAUUGGUUUUAUAAUAAUUUAGCAUAAAUGUAGUAAAUGGCUUAUUGUGCAUUAUGUCUAGGUGGUGAGCAUUCUGGCAAAAGUAAAGAGAUAGUACCCGAGGAUCAAGAAUCGGAGUACUCGGAAUUCGACUCUCGAAAUAGUGAGUAACCUUACUAUCGUCUUAAUUAUCUAAAGUGGUUUUUAUCUGAUUUUGUGAUUUUAUGGAAAAUAAGUUUAAAUGGUAAAUCUUUAUGUUUUAAAAGCAAAAUGUGAUUAAAGGAAAUGAUUUUAAAAAUUGUCUUGAAAUUGAAAGAUGGUUUUGGUAAUGGAGUAAUUGGAGACUAAUUGUUGUGUUAUAAAUCAUGGUUUGAAUUGAAUGGCUUAUGAUAAUAUUGGCAUGAAUAGUUAAAUUGGUAUUUGUGCUGAAAAUGUAUAAACUGUUGUUCGACUUGAUAGGAUGGAUAAUGAUAAAAUUGCCAUGUCAUGCUGUUGAAUUUUAUUGAAUUAGUGGGUUAUUGAUUAGUAGUUGCAGUGGAUGGGUUCCGUGGACCAAUUUAUUAGAGGGAGCACGGUAACCUUAUUAUAUUCAUACCUCAGUAUGAGAAACGCGGAUGGAUAACUCCUGAGGUUAACACUUUAGAGUUCACUUCACGCCAAACCACCACGUGACGGUGAACUCAGCCAACGCCAAGGAUCGGCUAUAUUUUUCAAAUAAAAAUAUGAUUUAUGCGUACAUAACUUUUUAAUAGCCUUGGCGGACUCGGUUGGGAUAUCUCUUGGCCAAGGUAUCCCUGAUAACUGAGUAUGAGAAUGAUUUUGGCACGAGCCAAAGUUUUAAGAAAUUCAUAAGCCAUGUUGAUUACUCAAUUUAUAUCAAUUGAUUUUAUUUGGUUGAAAUGAGUUGAAAGGUGAUGAAUUACAAUAUGCUAAUCUAUUUUAUCUGUCUCCAUUUACUCAGCUUUAUAUAUUUUAGAUGGUAUUUGUUUGCUCACUGGGAUUAUAUAAUCUCACGACUCUCCUUUCCACCCAUUUCAGGCUCAGGAUAGUCGGUAGAUAGCUCACUUUGUUGAGGGCUACAAUUGGACUUGCAUCCUCAAAAAUUGUAGGUUUACCGCUUUUGAUACUUUUGGUCGUUCGUGGGCCCACGUGUCACUGUAAAUUAAAUUUUAUACUUUGGUUAUCUGUAUUACAGUAUGUAUGAAUUUAUUUAGCUUUUACGCUACAAAAAUUAUUUACCGGUAACUCUAUAAAUAUUGUUUUAUAAGAAAAUAAAAUAUUUUAUUGAAUAUUUUUAUUAUAUUCAAAUAGUCA
rnacentral:lncRNA from 1 species